AGCCACUAAGCGAAAGGCUUUACUAAACCGUACUGAAAACCGACACAGGUGGUCAGGUAGAGAAUACUCAGGCGCUUGAGAGAACUCGGGUGAAGGAACUAGGCAAAAUAGCACCGUAACUUCGGGAGAAGGUGCGCCAGCGUAGAUUGUAAGGGCUAGCCCCUGAAGGUUGAACCGGUCGAAGAUACCAGCUGGCUGCAACUGUUUAUUAAAAACACAGCACUCUGCAAACACGAAAGUGGACGUAUAGGGUGUGAUGCCUGCCCGGUGCUGGAAGGUUAAUUGAUGGUGUAAUCGCAAGAGAAGCACCUGAUCGAAGCCCCAGUAAACGGCGGCCGUAACUAUAACGGUCCUAAGGUAGCGAAAUUCCUUGUCGGGUAAGUUCCGACCUGCACGAAUGGCAUAAUGAUGGCCAGGCUGUCUCCACCCGAGACUCAGUGAAAUUGAAAUCGCCGUGAAGAUGCGGUGUACCCGCGGCUAGACGGAAAGACCCCGUGAACCUUUACUAUAGCUUGACACUGAACAUUGAAUUUUGAUGUGUAGGAUAGGUGGGAGCCUUUGAAGCAGUGACGCCAGUCAUUGUGGAGGCGACCUUGAAAUACCACCCUUUAACGUUUGAUGUUCUAACGAAGAUGACGAAACGUGGUCUCGGACAGUGUCUGGUGGGUAGUUUGACUGGGGCGGUCUCCUCCCAAAGCGUAACGGAGGAGCACGAAGGUUUGCUAAUCACGGUCGGACAUCGUGAGGUUAGUGCAAUGGUAUAAGCAAGCUUAACUGCGAGACAGACAAGUCGAGCAGGUACGAAAGUAGGUCAUAGUGAUCCGGUGGUUCUGAAUGGAAGGGCCAUCGCUCAACGGAUAAAAGGUACUCCGGGGAUAACAGGCUGAUACCGCCCAAGAGUUCAUAUCGACGGCGGUGUUUGGCACCUCGAUGUCGGCUCAUCACAUCCUGGGGCUGAAGUAGGUCCCAAGGGUAUGGCUGUUCGCCAUUUAAAGUGGUACGCGAGCUGGGUUUAGAACGUCGUGAGACAGUUCGGUCCCUAUCUGCCGUGGGCGUUGGAUGAUUAAUUGGGGCUGCUCCUAGUACGAGAGGACCGGAGUGGACGCAUCACUGGUGUUCCAGUUGUCUCGCCAGAGGCAUUGCUGGGUAGCUAAGUGCGGAAGAGAUAAGUGCUGAAAGCAUCUAAGCACGAAACUUGCCAAGAGAUGAGUCAUCCCUGACUUUAAGUCAGUAAGGGUUGUUGUAGACUACGACGUAGAUAGGUCUGGUGUGUAAGUGUAGUGAUAUAUUGAGCUAACAGAUACUAAUUGCCCGAGAGGCUUAACUAU
rnacentral:rRNA from 1 species